rnacentral:rRNA from 1 species
CGGAGGAUCCAAGCGUUAUCCGGAAUCAUUGGGUUUAAAGGGUCCGUAGGCGGGUUUAUAAGUCAGUGGUGAAAGCCCAUCGCUCAACGAUGGAACGGCCAUUGAUACUGUAGAUCUUGAAUUAUUAGGAAGUAACUAGAAUAUGUAGUGUAGCGGUGAAAUGCUUAGAGAUUACAUGGAAUACCAAUUGCGAAGGCAGGUUACUACUAAUGGAUUGACGCUGAUGGACGAAAGCGUGGGUAGCGAACAGGAUUAGAUACCCUGGUAGUCCACGCCGUAAACGAUGGAUACUAGCUGUUCGGGAGCAAUCUGAGUGGCUAAGCGAAAGUGAUAAGUAUCCCACCUGGGGAGUACGUUCGCAAGAAUG